rnacentral:piRNA from 1 species
UGAAAUGAGGACUGCCUUUACCCAAGAUUU